UACGUAGGGGGCAAGCGCUAUCCGGAUUUACUGGGUGUAAAGGGAGCGUAGGUGGUAUGGCAAGUCAGAUGUGAAAGCCCGGGGCUCAACCCCGGGACUGCAUUUGAAACUGCCAGACUAGAGUGCAGGAGAGGUAAGUGGAAUUCCUAGUGUAGCGGUGAAAUGCGUAGAUAUUAGGAGGAACACCAGUGGCGAAGGCGGCUUACUGGACUGUGACUGACACUGAGGCUCGAAAGCGUGGGGAGCAAACAGG
rnacentral:rRNA from 1 species